rnacentral:rRNA from 1 species
CGGAGGGUGCAAGCGUUAUCCGGAAUCACUGGGCGUAAAGGGCGCGUAGGCGGUUUGUUAAGUCCGAUGUUAAAGACCGAGGCUCAACCUCGACACGGCUUUGGAUACUGGCAAGCUGGACGGUUGGAGAGGAAGGUAGAAUUACCAGUGUAGCGGUGGAAUGCGUAGAUACUGGUAGGAAUACCCAUUGCGAAGGCAGCCUUCUGGACAACACGUGACGCUGAGGCGCGAAAGUGUGGGGAGCAAACCGGAUU